ACCAGGAUGGCCGAGUGGUGAAGGUGUUGGACUUAAAAUCCAAUGGACAUUUGUCCAUGUGGGUUCAAACCCCACUCCUGGUA